rnacentral:misc_RNA from 1 species
GCGUAUCAUAAUCGCAAAAAGCUCUCCACGCUCUGAAGAAGCAACGGCGACGCCUCCGACGACGAGCACAGCUGCCCAGCCCAGCAAACUAGCAGCGCCCUCGUCAGUUCCGUCUCGUUCCCAACCUCUCCCGGAUUCGAUUCGAUUGACCCGUCCGCUCCAAAUCGAAUCUAAUCAGCAGUUUUGGAGUUGCGGAAGGGAGAAAGAGAGAGGAGAGGGGCAUGGAUCAGGUGCUCAACAAGGUGGGGAGCUACUGGUUCAGCAAAAGGGCCAGCAAGGAAAUCGACUCCAUCGGCGACGACAUCAGCGUAAGUUCCCGCCUCCUUCCUCCUCCUGCCGUGCGCGCCUCGUAGCAACUGGGUUCUUCACCUGCAUUGCUUAGCCUCCCAUAGUAACCGAGGUUCUGGAUCUGGCCUCUUGGUUGUUGGGGAUUCCUCCGUCGCUACGGGAUUUGCGGCGCAGCGGGUAGGGAUGUAGAAUUUGGGUUAUAAUCAGGACUCAGGAGCGGACUGCGGGAGCCAACUUAAUUUUGGAAUGUUGCUCGCUUCCAUGAGUUAAUGGAGGAGCUGGAGCAAUGAACGUCAAGUCAUCGUGACGAUAAAUGCAAAUGGGAGUGGGAUUACACUGGUUUUUAGGAAGUUGGGUUGGUCUUGGUCAUCAGUGUGGUUGCUGCAGAUUAGUUCAACAGAUUCCUUAACAAAGCAUCAGAAUCAGAUUCGCUGAUUCGUAUCUUGAAAUGGCUUUGCUUACUAUGCAUGGUUUAUGUUACAUCUGGCCUUUGAGUUGCCCUUAGCUUGAGUUGAUUAUGCUUUUCUUCUAUUGGUUAAGCAUAACUUGUGUAUGGCUUGUGUGAAUCUGCCUGGAGCAUUUUUUUAAUAACCGAAGCAUUUUGGAAUCAAAUUUCAAUAACACGGGC